AGCUUGCUAUCAGGCGUCGAGCGGCGGACGGGUGAGUAAUACUUAGGAAUCUACCUAGUAGUGGGGGAUAGCACGGGGAAACUCGUAUUAAUACCGCAUACGACCUACGGGAGAAAGGGGGCAGUUUACUGCUCUCGCUAUUAGAUGAGCCUAAGUCGGAUUAGCUAGAUGGUGGGGUAAAGGCCUACCAUGGCGACGAUCUGUAGCUGGUCUGAGAGGAUGAUCAGCCACACCGGGACUGAGACACGGCCCGGACUCCUACGGGAGGCAGCAGUGGGGAAUAUUGGACAAUGGGGGAAACCCUGAUCCAGCCAUGCCGCGUGUGUGAAGAAGGCCUUUUGGUUGUAAAGCACUUUAAGCAGUGAAGAAGACUCUUCGGUUAAUACCCGGAGACGAUGACAUUAGCUGCAGAAUAAGCACCGGCUAACUCUGUGCCAGCAGCCGCGGUAAUACAGAGGGUGCAAGCGUUAAUCGGAAUUACUGGGCGUAAAGGGAGCGUAGGUGGCUCGAUAAGUCAGAUGUGAAAUCCCCGGGCUCAACCUGGGAACUGCAUCUGAUACUGUUGAGCUAGAGUAUGUGAGAGGAAGGUAGAAUUCCAGGUGUAGCGGUGAAAUGCGUAGAGAUCUGGAGGAAUACCGAUGGCGAAGGCAGCCUUCUGGCAUAAUACUGACACUGAGGCUCGAAAGCGUGGGUAGCAAACAGGAUUAGAUACCCUGGUAGUCCACGCCGUAAACGAUGUCUACUAGUCGUUGGGUCCCUUGAGGACUUAGUGACGCAGCU
rnacentral:rRNA from 1 species